UUAAAGGACUCGCAUAACCCUCGAGUCUCCGGUUGAUCUUCUGCACAGCCUCUAGAUCCAAUCUAACCAUAGUUCUUAAUACCAAUUGUUAGAGGGCACAUCGGAAUCCGAUCCAACAUGCUAUACCCAUGAGUUGGUGCCCCACUAGGCCCAGGUCCACCGAAGCCCACAACAACAAAGUUUUCGGACCUCACUCAACCCAAAAGACUAGCCUGAUGGGUGAGGGCUACCCCCACCUAUAUGUUGUGCUCCCCCACCAUCAAUUUUUGAUGUGGGAUUAAACCUAACAAUCUCCCCCGUCACACAUCGGGUCCAACUCUUCCAUCACAAGCAACCCAUGAACCCGUGUGACCCUCCGGAGACGUUCACGGGCUCCCC
rnacentral:lncRNA from 1 species